AUUCAACUGACGAGUGUAAAAUAGGAUGAAACGCGCUUCAAACUAGAU
rnacentral:hammerhead_ribozyme from 1 species